rnacentral:rRNA from 1 species
GACGAACCGUGCGAACGUUGUUCGGAUUCAAUGGGCUUAAAGGGCGCGUAGGCGGGUCAUCAAGGUCGGGGUGAAAUCUUUCAGAUUAACUGGAAAAGUGCCUAGAAUACUGAUGGUCUUGAGGGAGGUAGGAGCAUGUGGACCUUCCGGUGGAGCGGUGUAAUGCGUAGAGAUCGGAAGGAACGCCGGCGGCGAAAGCGACGUGCUGGACCUUUUCUGACUCUGAGGCGUGAAUGCCAGGGGAGCGAUUGAG